GAUGAACGCUGGCGGCGUGCCUAAUACAUGCAAGUCGAGCGAACAGACGAGGAGCUUGCUCCUCUGACGUUAGCGGCGGACGGGUGAGUAACACGUGGAUAACCUACCUAUAAGACUGGGAUAACUUCGGGAAACCGGAGCUAAUACCGGAUAAUAUAUUGAACCGCAUGGUUCAAUAGUGAAAGACGGUUAUGCUGUCACUUAUAGAUGGAUCCGCGCCGCAUUAGCUAGUUGGUAAGGUAACGGCUUACCAAGGCAACGAUGCGUAGCCGACCUGAGAGGGUGAUCGGCCACACUGGAACUGAGACACGGUCCAGACUCCUACGGGAGGCAGCAGUAGGGAAUCUUCCGCAAUGGGCGAAAGCCUGACGGAGCAACGCCGCGUGAGUGAUGAAGGUCUUCGGAUCGUAAAACUCUGUUAUUAGGGAAGAACAAAUGUGUAAGUAACUAUGCACGUCUUGACGGUACCUAAUCAGAAAGCCACGGCUAACUACGUG
rnacentral:rRNA from 1 species